CCCCACAGCCAUGUCAGGAACAGGAGGAGAACCUCGUCCUGACAUGAGCAAAGUCAAAGGCCCGAUUCUUUUAGACCGGAUGGGGGGAGAGGCCUUACAAUACCCGAAUGCGCCCUCACAGUCAUGUCAGGAACAGGAGGAGAACCUCAUCCUGACAUGAGCAAAGUCAAAGACCCAGUUCUUUUAGACCGGAUGGGGUGAGAGGCCUUACAAUGCCCUAAUGCGCCCCCACAGCCAUGUCAGGAACAGGAGGAGAACCUCAUCCUGACAUGAGCAAAGUCGAAGGCCCAGUUCUUUUAGACCGGAUGGGGGG
rnacentral:lncRNA from 1 species